GACGAACGCUGGCGGCGUGCCUAAUACAUGCAAGUUGAGCGAUGAAGCUUGGUGCUUGCACCAAUUUGAAGAGCAGCGAACGGGUGAGUAACGCGUGGGGAAUCUGCCUUUGAGCGGGGGACAACAUUUGGAAACGAAUGCUAAUACCGCAUAACAACUUUAAACAUAAGUUUUAAGUUUGAAAGAUGCAAUUGCAUCACUCAAAGAUGAUCCCGCGUUGUAUUAGCUAGUUGGUGAGGUAAAGGCUCACCAAGGCGAUGAUACAUAGCCGACCUGAGAGGGUGAUCGGCCACAGUGGGACUGGGACACGGCCCAAACUCCUACGGGAGGCAGCAGUAGGGAAUCUUCGGCAAUGGACGAAAGUCUGGCCGAGCAACGCCGCGUGAGUGAAGAAGGUUUUCGGAUCGUAAAACUCUGUUGGUAGAGAAGAACGUUGGUGAGAGUGGAAAGCUCAUCAAGUGACGGUAACUACCCAGAAAGGGACGGCUAACUACGUG
rnacentral:rRNA from 1 species